GCAGUCGUUGCACAGGCACUUUGGUGACUCUAAAUAACCUCGGGCUGAUCGCACGUCCCCGUGACGGCGACGACGCAUUCGGAUGUCAACUUUCGAUGGUACUUUCUGCGCCUACCAUGGUGAUCAUGGGUAACGGGGAAUCAGGGUUUGAUUCCAGAGAGGGAGCCUGAGAAACAGUUACCACAUCCAAGGAAGGCAGCAGGCGCGCAAAUUACCCACUCCCAACGCGGGGAGGUAGUGAC